CCUGACAGUUUAACUGUCCUAAAGGGUUGUUCGAGACUAGAACGUUGAUAGGCAGGGUGUGUAAGCGUUGUGAGGCGUUGAGCUAACCUGUACUAAUUGCCCGUGAGGCUUAACCAUACAACACCCAAGGGGUUUUGUA
rnacentral:rRNA from 1 species